rnacentral:lncRNA from 1 species
AUUCUACAAAAUGCUAGCACAUAGCAUGGGGUCUGGCUUGUCACCUGGAGAAAAUUAUUAAGGGGCGAGGUUACCUUCUCUCCCUUUUACUUGCCCCAAUUUUCAGUGGGGUUGUCACUUCACUUUGCUUAUCUGGACACCGUCCCAUUGUUUUGCCUAGUCAGCUGGUACGACCGUGAAUCCGGUUUGAUAUAAAUCAUGAAGUCACAAGCUUCCAGAGUGAAUUAAUCUACAGUUGAUAGUAUGAUGCAGGUGAAGACUGGAAGAUAAUUGUUCAUCCUUCAUUUUA